rnacentral:rRNA from 1 species
GCGGGAAUUUUGGGCAAUGGGCGAAAGCCUGACCCAGCAACGCCGCGUGAGGGAUGAAGUAUUUCGGUAUGUAAACCUCGAAAGAAUGGGAAGAAUAAAUGACGGUACCAUUUAUAAGCUCCGGCUAACUACGUGCCAGCAGCCGCGGUAAUACGUAGGGAGCAAGCGUUGUUCGGAUUUACUGGGCGUAAAGGGCGCGUAGGCGGCGCGGUAAGUCACUUGUGAAAUCUCUGAGCUUAACUCAGAACGGCCAAGUUAUACUGCUGUGCUAGAGUGCGGAAGAGGCAACCGGAAUUCUUGGUGUAGCGGUGAAAUGCGUAGAUAUCAAGAGGAACACCUGAGGCGAAGGCGGGUUGCUGGGCCGACACUGACGCUGAUGCGCGAAAGCCAGGGGAGCAAACG